UACAGAGACUGCAAGCGUUAUUCGGAUUCACUGGGCGUAAAGGGUGCGCAGGCGGCCGGGUGUGUCAGAUGUGAAAUCCCGAGGCUUAACCUCGGAACUGCGUCUGAAACUACUCGGCUAGAGUAUUGGAGAGGGUAACGGAAUUCACGGUGUAGCAGUGAAAUGCGUAGAUAUCGGGAGGAACAUCAGUGGCGAAGGCGGCGAUCUGGGAAGAUACUGACGCUGAGGUGCGAAAGCGUGGGGAGCAAACAGG
rnacentral:rRNA from 1 species